AUUGAACGCUGGCGGCAGGCCUAACACAUGCAAGUCGAACGGUAACAGGAAACAGCUUGCUGUUUCGCUGACGAGUGGCGGACGGGUGAGUAAUGUCUGGGAAACUGCCUGAUGGAGGGGGAUAACUACUGGAAACGGCAGCUAAUACCGCAUAACGUCGCAAGACCAAAGAGGGGGACCCUCGGGCCUCUUGCCAUCGGAUUUGCCCAGAUGGGAUUAGCUUGUUGGUGGGGUAACGGCUAACCAAGGGGAGGAUCCCUACCUGUUCUGAGAGGAUGACCAGCCACACUGGAACAGAGACACGGUCCAGACUCCUACGAGAGGGAGCAGUGGGGAAUGUUGCACAAUGGGCGCAAGCCUGAUGCAGCCAUGCCGCGUGUAUGAAGAAGGCCUUCGGGUUGUAAAGUACUUUCAGCGGGGAGGAAGGGAGUAAAGUUAAUACCUUUCCUCAUUGACGUUACCCGCAGAAGAAGCACCGACUAACUCCGUG
rnacentral:rRNA from 1 species